rnacentral:tRNA from 2 species
GCUGCGGUGGCGGAAUGGUAGACGCGCUACCUUGAGGUGGUAGUGGGAGCAAUCCUGUGGAGGUUCAAGUCCUCUCCGCAGCA